rnacentral:piRNA from 1 species
UGAAUGCUUGGCCAUAGGGAGUGG